CGUACACUCCUGCGGGAGGCAGCAGUGGGGAAUUUUGGACAAUGGGCGAAAGCCUGAUCCAGCCAUGCCGCGUGCAGGAUGAAGGCCUUCGGGUUGUAAACUGCUUUUGUACGGAACGAAACGGCCUUUUCUAAUAAAGAGGGCUAAUGACGGUACCGUAAGAAUAAGCACCGGCUAACUACGUGGCAGCAGCCGCGGUAAUACGUAGGGUGCAAGCGUUAAUCGGAAUUACUGGGCGUAAAGCGUGCGCAGGCGGUUAUGUAAGACAGUUGUGAAAUCCCCGGGCUCAACUUGGGAACUGCAUCUGUGACUGCAUAGCUAGAGUACGGUAGAGGGGGAUGGAAUUCCGCGUGUAGCAGUGAAAUGCGUAGAUAUGCGGAGGAACACCGAUGGCGAAGGCAAUCCCCUGGACCUGUACUGACGCUCAUGCACGAAAGCGUGGGGAGCAAACAGGAUUAGAAACCCUAGUAGUCCCAUGAU
rnacentral:rRNA from 1 species